UACGGAGGAUGCAAGCGUUAUCCGGAAUGAUUGGGCGUAAAGGGUCCGCAGGUGGCUGUGUAAGUCUGCUGUUAAAUAGUCACGCUCAACAUGAUCAAGGCAGUGGAAACUACAUAGCUAGAGUGCGUUCGGGGCAGAGGGAAUUCCUGGUGUAGCGGUGAAAUGCGUAGAUAUCAGGAAGAACACCGGUGGCGAAGGCGCUCUGCUAGGCCGUAACUGACACUGAGGGACGAAAGCUAGGGGAGCGAAUGGG
rnacentral:rRNA from 1 species